rnacentral:misc_RNA from 1 species
GAUGAAGAACGCAGCGAAAUGCGAUAAGUAAUGUGAAUUGCAGAAUUCAGUGAAUCAUCGAAUCUUUGAACGCACAUUGCGCCCGCCAGUAUUCUGGCGGGCAUGCCUGUCCGAGCGUCAUUUCAACCCUCGAACCCCUCCGGGGGGUCGGCGUUGGGGACCUCGGGAGCCCCAAAGACGGGAUCCCGGCCCCGAAAUACAGUGGCGGUCUCGCCGCAGCCUCUCCUGCGCAGUAGUUUGCACAACUCGCACCGGGAGCGCGGCGCGUCCACGUCCGUAAAACACCCAACUUCUGAAAUGUUGACCUCGGAUCAGGUAGGAAUACCCGCUGAACUUAAGCAUAUCAAUAAGCGGAGGA